CUCAAAUCUUCAUUCACAGCUUCUCCUUCACGCUUUCUCAUUUGACAACCCUAAUUCUAGAACCUGCCGCUGUAAUUCUUCUUGCCUUUAACCUCACGCUGUAACGGUGGAACAUUAAGAACCUGCAAAAGCUUCAUAUCUUUGGAUCCCAAAACCAUCGAUUUGUCUCAACCAAGUUUUUUUCAUGUUUGCUAGAUGUUUUUCAAAUCACAGGUCUGAUUCGAUUUCAUCUUUCUCACACUACAAUUAAGCAUUUUUUUAUCAAGAUGGAGAAGCUUCUUGAAUGGACUGACAUACCGAAUUGAUGGAAACGCUGUAGAAUCGGAUCAACCUCCAUUAAUUGCAUUCAUUUGUUUGAUUAAUCAGGAAUUUUGUUUUUCUAUCCUCUGUCUUGCCCAAAUAAAGAUUAGCUUUUCUUCUUCUUCUUUUUUUUCCAACCAAGUUAUGUGUAUACAUCAUCCAGCAAAUGUUUUUUUUAUUUCUCCAUUUGUGCUUUUCUUGCGCUUAGUGGAAAAAGCGUUUUACUGCGCCUGGAGCCUAGGCGCGCCUCAGGCGCGCUUUUUAUAACCCAGGUACCACCAUUUUUGGUCCAAAAAAUUUUCACACAAAUAUUUUCAUUCAUUAAUGUUCAAUUGUUUAACAGCCUUCUUUUGAGACGAGAAUGUUGUUCGUUCAGCAAUGGUGAAUAUGUGAAAGCCUGACUUGGUGAAUUAAAAGACUGGUGUUACAACGCAACCGUUGAGUAUGCGGGUUUUGCAUGGGAAGAACUUAAACAUAUCCGGCAGGCUAUCGGGUUUCUGGUUAUUCAUCAAUAGCUGAAGAAAACCCUUGAUGAAAUAAGUCAUAGCCUGCGUCCCGUUAUUAGUGUACAACAGUUGUACCGGAUCGUUACAAUGUAUUGGGAUGACAAAUAUGGAACUCAUAGUGUGUCCCCAAAUCAUGAGGAUUAUGAUGACAGAAGAAAAUAAUACAAUAAGCAAUUCUUUCCUUUUGGAUGACGAUUCCAGAGGUUGCAAAAUGGGCACAGGGCCAGACAUGCAGGAAGAACAGAUAUCCCUAUUGCAGAAGGAUCUCAUGUUAGUUAUGUGUUGGUCAAAAAAAGUUCAAGGAGCUGCCAAGCGUUUUGGUCCCAAAAACUAAGAUUAUUUUUCAUCAAUAUGAAAAUGAAUUUGAUGCUCUUUAAGGUCUUGCGUUGCCCAGCUCCAAUCUUAUCUGCUGUUGGUGAUUUUUUAGAUGGAUUGGAGGCUUCAUGACUUAUCUAGGGUUACAAGUGUUGCUUCUUUCUUUGUUAGUCGAGUAGAUACACUUCUUGACAAAAUGCUUGAAAAAAUUGGAACCCCAGAGGCCCUCAAUCAUCAAGGGAAGCGCCCAACGGUUGAAUGACUUGGGUGAAGAAUCAGCCAGACUUCCUCUCUUCAUCUCUGGAGGUAGGCAGAACCGCGGUUCGUAUGGAAUAACUAUAUGUUGGAGCUUCUUAUAGAUAAUUAACAAGAAGCUGGAUGCACACAUUCUUCCUGUUAUUCAAGGAAGUAUCUUUUAAUUUUUUUAUUAGAAGUAUUUUUUAAUAUAAAGAGGUGUUUAUUUCAUUUUUUUAACUUUCUAACAGCUUUUCAAAGCUUUGAAGUAGCAAUAGGCAAAGAUAUUAUAGAUGUCACCUUGAUAGCAAGGAGGAGAUGAAGUUGAGGGAGAAGAUGAGAAACAGACGAUGCAGUCUUUUAAUUCACAAAUCCCAGAAAAAGCCCAAAACACAUUUAUUUUGUAUUGGUAGAGUACACAUCACUAAAUCAACUAUUUAGAUUACUUUACACUGCUAUGGUUUAUGAUAAUUUGAAAUUAUAUGUACAUGCCACCUCUAUUACAAUAUAUGACUUUCUGUAUGCAACUU